AUAAAAAAACCUGCAGAGCAUACUCUGCAGGGUCCUUCUAUUUCCUUUAUAAAAGGAAGAAGGAAAAGGGAGAGGAGAAACCGGAGGAAGGUCUUAUGGGGAAAUGUAAGACUUCUCCGCGG
rfam:Bacillus sp. FJAT-27997 Scaffold1, whole genome shotgun sequence.